rnacentral:rRNA from 1 species
AGAGUUUGAUCCUGGCUCAGAUUGAACGCUGGCGGCAGGCCUAACACAUGCAAGUCGAGCGGUAACACAGGGAGCUUGCUCCUGGGUGACGAGCGGCGGACGGGUGAGUAAUGUCUGGGAAACUGCCUGAUGGAGGGGGAUAACUACUGGAAACGGUAGCUAAUACCGCAUAACGUCGCAAGACCAAAGAGGGGGACCUUCGGGCCUCUUGCCAUCGGAUGUGCCCAGAUGGGAUUAGCUAGUAGGUGGGGUAACGGCUCACCUAGGCGACGAUCCCUAGCUGGUCUGAGAGGAUGAUCAGCCACACUGGGACUGAGACACGGCCCAGACUCCUACGGGAGGCAGCAGUGGGGAAUAUUGGACAAUGGGCGAAAGCCUGAUCCAGCAAUGCCGCGUGUGUGAAGAAGGUCUUCGGAUUGUAAAGUACUUUCAGCGGGGAGGAAGGGAGUAAGGUUAAUAACCUUAUUCAUUGACGUUACCCGCAGAAGAAGCACCGGCUAACUCCGUGCCAGCCGCCGCGGUAAUUC